GCGCCCAUAGCUCAGUUGGUUAGAGCACCAGCCUUUUAAGCUGGGUUGUCCUCGGUUCGAAUCCGAGUGGGCGCA
rfam:Parcubacteria group bacterium RIFCSPHIGHO2_01_FTLL_47_10b rifcsphigho2_01_scaffold_47252, whole genome shotgun sequence.